rnacentral:lncRNA from 1 species
CACCUGCCUUUACUCCUCAAAAACCUAGAAUUUCUUUUGCACCUGCUACCAACCCAGCUUACCUGCCCCUCUGUCUGAAAUGCAUUUUCUAGCUCUCCCAGACUCCACACCGGAAAAAAAUCCAGAUCCAGGGAUCCUGCUCCAGGACCUGCAACGACAGUUUCCUAAGCCACCACACCGGUCCUCAGGAAAAAGUGAGAUUCCCGUGGCAGGAAAGCGGUUCCC